GAAUAAGAUCAAACAGACCUGUUACCAGGCACUUCAAUAGAGAGUUUGAGCAAGACAACGAAGUACGAAGACAUACUUGAUAAUUUUUGCCGUCUGCACAUUAUCUUGCGCAUACUGUGUUGGACGUCACUGGUGAUUGCUCAACGUACUGUCUUCCCAUGUGUCGCUGUUUAUGAAUAUUGACCUUGUUUCUUGCCCUGUUCCAGAAAAAAACAGCGAGACAUGUAACUAUAUCCCGUCUUUGUCCUUGUGCUUUCGUGCAGAACGAAGUUGACAACGAAUUUUGCCAAAAUAUUCGUUGUGAACGAAGGCAGAAGAACGAAGACGGGAUAUGGAUUCAUGUCUCGCUGUUUUAUCCUGAUCAGGGUAAUAGGCCGUCACAUAAGGC